rnacentral:rRNA from 1 species
ACGGAAGGCAGCAGUGGGGAAUAUUGGACAAUGGGGGAAACCCUGAUCCAGCGACGCCGCGUGAGUGAAGAAGUAUUUCGGUAUGUAAAGCUCUAUCAGCAAGGAAGAAAAUGACGGUACUUGACUAAGAAGCUCCGGCUAAAUACGUGCCAGCAGCCGCGGUACUACGUAUGGAGCAAGCGUUAUCCGGAUUUACUGGGUGUAAAGGGAGCGUAGACGGCAAAGCAAGUCUGAAGUGAAAUCCCGGGGCUCAACCCCGGAACUGCUUUGGAAACUGUUUAGCUAGAGUGCAGGAGAGGUAAGCGGAAUUCCUAGUGUAGCGGUGAAAUGCGUAGAUAUUAGGAGGAACACCAGUGGCGAAGGCGGCUUACUGGACUGUAACUGACGUUGAGGCUCGAAAGCGUGGGGAGCAAACAGGAUUAGAUACCCUGGUA